rnacentral:lncRNA from 10 species
AGACGUCGGCAGGCUGGAGGUAGAAGGUGGAGUUGAGCAGCUCUUCCAGCCUGCGCGGAACGUCGUUCUCCCGGUAGUACUCCAUCGCCUGCUGCUUCAGCUUCUGCAGCUCCCUAGUGGUCCCACAGCUGCGGCCGCCGCCUUCUUCCUCCAUGAUGAAAACAUCUGAGACUCAGGGCUAAGCACCUUGCCCAAGGCCACACAACAAGUAGGUGAUGGAGAGUGUUGGCGUGUACGGAUUCUGUGGGUGUAAAGCAAAGAACAAAAUGAAGUGUGAUUCAAGGUGGGAAAUAGCCGCUUCAGGACCAGCUUGGACUUGUGACCUGUGCAGUCACACAAGGCCCUGCACGUGGUUUAAUGCUCCGCUGUCACCAUCUUGAAAUUCUUAAUACCUUGAACGAGGGGUCCUGUAUUUUUGUUUCAUGCUGGGCCCAGCAAAUUACAUAGGUGGUCCUCCCUUUGGGGUUCUGCAAGGCAACUAACUGUGAAGCAUGCAUCGAGUUACAGUUUUAAAUCUUAACAUGACUUCAUCUGUUAUGGCCUACCCAGGACAGUGCAGGAAGCUGGGUGCCCUUUAAGAAAGGAGUCUGGGCUGAAGGAGAUGGAGAGGUAGGAAGGGUUGGGGUCCUGAAUGCCAGCUUUGCCAGGGCCAUGCCUCGCAGCCAUGUCCUUCCUGCCUGUCUACCACAGGCCAGGAGGUGAACAGUCAUUCUGUAAUUCACAUGCAGUAAAGCUUUUUGAGAGUUCUGUUUUUCACCUGGAACUGCCAAGUCAUUUGGUGAAGAUUUCCUGCUUGUUUGAAGUCUGCAGAGAAAAACCGCUAAUGAAACAUACCACAUUUGGAAAUGAACUUUUUAAAGUAUGUAUCCAUAAGUUCUUAUUUCAGCUCUUCCUUUUAUUCUAUAAAUGCCUGUCUUAUUUCAAAAGGGACUUUCAGGCAGAGGUAUAACAACAUAAUAAGAACAAUACAUUUGAGAAACAGAACUGAAAAGAAACUAAGGCAAAGUCAGGGGUAAAAUUGGAUCACAAAUGCAUACCACGAGGUCUUACUGAAUUUAAAAUUUACAAAUGCCUGUAAGCUUCCCAGUCGCAGAACAAAGGAACACAAUUGGUCAUAUCUAUAUGCAGCAGGAGAAGGGUUGGGCGGACAGCAGCUCGCAACUUGGCUUCCACCGUCUGCCGCAGAGAAUUUAGAGGCGUCUUGGGAACAUGAGUGGGGCUAUCCAGGAAUCUGUUUACCUGAGGGACUAAGUCCUGUCCCUUGG